GGGCGUACGUUGCUCGGAUAUUGGGCGUAAGCGCGCGCAGGCGGUUUCUUAAGUCUGAUGUGAAAGCCCCCGGCUCAACCGGGGAGGGUCAUUGGAAACUGGGGAACUUGAGUGCAGAAGAGGAUAGUGGAAUUCCACGUGUAGCGGUGAAAUGCGUAGAGAUGUGGAGGAACACCAGUGGCGAAGGCGACUCUCUGGUCUGUAACUGACGCUGAGGCGCGAAAGCGUGGGGAGCGAACAGGAUUAGAUACCCUGGUAGUCCACGCCGUAAACGAUGAGUGCUAAGUGUUAGAGGGUUUCCGCCCUUUAGUGCUGCAGCAAACGCAUUAAGCACUCCGCCUGGGGAGUACGGUCGCAAGACUGAAACUCAAAGGAAUUGACGGGGGCCCGCACAAGCGGUGGAGCAUGUGGUUUAAUUCGAAGCAACGCGAAGAACCUUACCAGGUCUUGACAUCCUCUGACAACCCUAGAGAUAGGGCUUCCCCUUCGGGGGCAGAGUGACAGGUGGUGCAUGGGUGUCGUCAGCUCGUGUCGUGAGAUGUUGGGUUAAGUCCCGCAACGAGCGCAACCCUUGAUCUUAGUUGCCAGCAUUCAGUUGGGCACUCUAAGGUGACUGCCGGUGACAAACCGGAGGAAAGUGGGGAUGACAUCAAAUCAUCAUGCCCCUUAUGACCUGGGCUACACACGUGCUACAAUGGGCAGAACACAGGGCAGCGAAGCCGCGAGGCUAAGCCAAUCCCACAAAUCUGUUCUCAGUUCGGAUCGCAGUCUGCAACUCGACUGCGUGAAGCUGGAAUCGCUAGUAAUCGCGGAUCAUCAUGCCGCGGUGGAAUAACUUUCCCCGGGCCUUGUAGACACCGCCCGUCACACCACGAAGAGUUUGUAACACCCGAAGUCGGUGAGGUAACCUUUUUGGAGCCAGCCGCCGAAGGUGGGACAGAUGAUUGUGGUGAGCUAAAAAAAAAACCCCCAAAAAAAAAAAAAAAGGUUUUUUUUCCGC
rnacentral:rRNA from 1 species